AGAGUUUGAUCCUGGCUCAGGACGAACGCUGGCGGCGUGCUUAACACAUGCAAGUCAAGGGGGCCCAGCAAUGGGCAACCGGCGAACGGGUGCGUAACACGUGAGCAACCUACCGAACUGUGGGGGAUAGCCGGCCUAACGGCCGAGUAAUACCGCAUACGCUUUCAGUGAGGCAUUUCAUUGAAAGGAAACCUACGGGACAGAUCGAGGGGCUCGCGGCCUAUCAGCUAGUUGGCGAGGUAACGGCUCACCAAGGCAACGACGGGUAGCUGGUCUGAGAGGAUGGCCAGCCACAUUGGGACUGAGAUACGGCCCAGACUCCUACGGGAGGCAGCAGUGGGGAAUCUUGCGCAAUGGCCUAACGGCUGACGCAGCGACGCCGCGUGUGGGAUGAAGCUCUUCGGAGUGUAAACUACUGUUGCCCGGGACGAACAGCUCGAUUAAUCGAGCCUGACG
rnacentral:rRNA from 1 species